ensembl:lncRNA
AUGUGCCAUCAUAUACACACACUGUAUGUGUGGGCGUGCACAUGUGCCAUCAUAUACACACUACAUGUGUAUGUGUGGGCAUGUGCAUAUGCCAUCAUACACACUACAUGUGUAUGUGCGGGCGUACACAUAUGCCAUCAUACACACUACAUGUGUAUUGCGGGCGUGCACAUGCACCAUCACACACACACUACAUGUGUAUGUGUGGGUGUGCACAUGUGCCAUCAUAUACACACUACAUGUGUAUGUGUGGGCGUGCACAUGUGCCAUCACACACACUACAUGUGUAUGUGUGGGUGUGCACAUGCGCCAUCAUACACACACUACAUGUGUAUAUGUGGGCAUGCACAUGUGCCAUCACACACACUACAUGUGUAUGUGUGGGUGUGCACAUAUGCCAUCAUACACACACUACAUGUGUAUGUGCGGGCAUGCACAUGCGCCAUCACACACACUACAUGUGUAUGUGCGGGCGUGCACAUGCGCCAUCACACACACUACAUGUGUAUGUGUGGGUGUGCACAUGCGCCAUCAUACACACACUACAUGUGUAUGUGCGGGCAUGCACAUGCGCCAUCACACACACUACAUGUGUAUGUGCGGGCGUGCACAUGCGCCAUCACACACACUACAUGUGUAUGUGUGGGUGUGCACAUGCGCCAUCAUACACACUACAUGUGUAUAUGUGGGCAUGCACAUGCGCCAUCACACACACACUACAUGUGUAUGUGCGGGCGUGCACAUGCGCCAUCACACACACUACAUGUGUAUGUGUGGGCGUGUGCAUAUGCCAUCAUACACACUACAUGUGUAUGUGUGGGCAUGCACAUGCGCCAUCACAUACACACUACAUGUCUAUGUGCGGGCGUGUGCAUAUGCCAUCAUACACACUACAUGUGUAUGUGUAGGUGUGCACAUGUGCCAUCAUAUACACACUGUGUAUGUGUAGGCGUGCACAUGUGCCAUCAUAUACACACUACAUGUGUAUGUGCGGGCGUGCACAUGCGCCAUCACACACACAGUACAUGUGUAUGUGCGGGCGUGCACAUGUGCUAUCCAAGCCCUUUUCCCCUUUUCAUCAUGCACACAUUUUCAGUGUCAUUAGGAAAAAUUUUGUUUGUGAAUUUGGGAUGCAGAGCAACAGCAAGAGCUUGGUAUCUGCUGGUUCACUCCCCAAACGCCCGCAACGGCCCCAGGAGGCAGGAGCUCCACCCGCGUCUCCCACUGGGCGGCGGGGACUCAAGUCCUGAGCCAUCACGGCUGCCUCCCAGGCACACGAGCAGGAAGCGGGUUGGAAGCGGAGGCGGGACUCGAUCCCAGGACGCCCUGCCAUGGAAUGUGGGUCUCCCAAGCAGCGACCUGACUGCUGAGCCACGGAAUCCCACCCUGGGACUCUCUCGAGCCACACCGUGGACGCCUCCAAAGCCCUCCACCGAGGGAGGAGCGGAGCUUCCCAACGGUCACAUCACCCUUUCCCUCCACAAGGCAGAUCCCCGCCCCAAGCCGGCAAGCUCUGGCAGACUGCCCCCAGUCACUGUCCCUGACCUGAGACCACUUGCACCUGUGGAGGCCAGGUCAGUGGGCGCAGCUCGGGGCAGGAGGGGGUGUGAAGACCCCCAAGGUGGCCAACGUGGGCCGAAGAUGGUCUGUGGCUGGUUCACACCAAGGCGAUCACGGCUGCUUUGA